UACGUAGGUGGCAAGCGUUGUCCGGAAUUACUGGGUGUAAAGGGAGCGUAGGCGGGAGGAUAAGUUGGACGUAUAAACUAUCGGCUCAACCGGUAGAGGCGUUCAAAACUGUCCUUCUUGAGUGAAGUAGAGGUAAGCGGAAUUCCUAGUGUAGCGGUGAAAUGCGUAAAUAUUAGGAGGAACACCAGUGGCGAAGGCGGCUUACUGGGCUUUAACUGACGCUGAGGCUCGAAAGCGUGGGUAGCAAACAGG
rnacentral:rRNA from 1 species